ensembl:miRNA gmo-mir-11243 gmo-mir-11243
GCUGGGGAAGAACUCCCUAAGGUCAAUGAUGUAAACACGGGACCAGGGAGCCCGUCUCAGCGU